rnacentral:rRNA from 1 species
UACAGAGGUCCCAAGCGUUGUUCGGAUUCACUGGGCGUAAAGGGUGCGCAGGUGGGUUUGCAAGUUUGAUGUGAAAGCCCCGGGCUUAACCCGGGAAUGGCAUUGAAUACUGCAGAUCUGGAGGAUUGGAGGGGGGACUGGAAUUCUUGGUGUAGCAGUGAAAUGCGUAGAUAUCAAGAGGAACACCGGUGGCGAAGGCGGCAUCCUGGACCGGCAUUGACGCUGAGGCGCGAAAGCCAGGGGAGCAAACGGG